rnacentral:misc_RNA from 1 species
CAGUGAUACCGGCCCCUCGGGGCCGGACUCACCACCCUGUGUAUUAUUACUUGUUGCUUUGGCAGGCCGCGAGGUUGCUCUGCAAUCUGGCACCGGCUCCGGCUGGAGAGCGCCUGCCAGAGGACCCAACUCUGUUAUCAGUGAUGUCUGAGCACUAUAUUUAAUAGUUA